AAGUUUUUAAAACGAUUGCAGAAAGUAAACGAAAGAAAGUUAAAAGAAAGUUAUUUUGUAAAACCUGUAUCUUUUGUUAAACAAUGUAAACCAUGUACAUGAUCAUUGCUGUUUGUUAUGUCUGUACUUAUAUACAAUUGUUUACACGCUGUGAAAUAUGUUGUAGUUGUUUAGGUGAAUAAAUGAAUAGGUUUAGUUGAUUGUAAAUAUUUAGAAAAAAAUUUUUAUUGUAUAUAAUUUAAAAUUGAAUAAAAAAAACUUAUAAAAA